GAAAAGAAGCAUAUAGAGUAAGAGAAGUUACCAGUUGUAGCAUCUUUGAAUUGCUCUUUGCUAUUCUCCGGGAACUUAUGAUGAUGAAUCCAGCCCCAAAACUGCCAGAAAAUUAAGCAUUGGUUGAUGACAGUGGAAGACCAACACGAAGAAAGCUACAAAACUUUGGUUGGCCAUUCUCUUUCAAGUUCACAUCAAGAACAAGUUGGAGGGCCAUUACAGACAUAAACCUACUGUUGUGGUUACAUGACACGUACAUUUAUUGGCGUAGCUAUCCGUAGUUACAAUCAUCAAUCAUUUCAGGUAUUGCUAUUUGAUCUUUGAUUUUAGUUUCUAAAUAUCAUAAAACUUUAUGGAUUUUAUGUGGCGUUCCUGGUAUCACAAUUUGAGCUUCAUUUGAGUUUCUGUAUCAUAAAACGUUGUAGAUUUUAUCCGGCGUUCAUGAGCCACUGAUAGUAAAUUAACUAGUCAUUUUACAUUCGAUAUACAUAAAUAGUGGAUGCAAAAUGAAUAUUGCCAUUGCAUUGUGUUGUGUAGGCAAGACAUUUUUUUCCUGCGACUUUUGAUAAUCCAACAAUCUCAUUUACGCUAGAAGGGAACAUGUAUUCUGUCUGCGGUAGUUAUAGAAGAACUGUAAACUCUGUUUUUACAUUGGUGCUGCUUUCCAUAGAUAGAUUAAUUGAUUUUUAUCUGAAAGAAUAAUUAAUGCUGGCUCCUUGGUCAUUUAUAGAGUGAUUGACAAUGCAUUAUGUUCAAAUAAUUUCCAAUGAAAAGAGUACUGUUUCGUUUUGCCUUUGUUGACUUGGCUGUCUCUGACAAGAAGAAAAGGCAGAUGGAUGAUGACCAGAAAAGUAAAGAGAGUGCUUUCUCCAGGAAGCAUAUGGAAAGCUCCGUGACAAAACAAUAACGACUGCUUUCGUACUAGUUGAUUCAGACAAGUGAAGCUGUCAACGACAUCAGAUGAUGAGGAUCAAAAUGGGAUGGGCCAGAAUGAGUUUUGAAUGUUAAUCAAUGGACUGGCUGAUUCAAAAUGGUGAGGUAGCAAUUAAGUCUUCUAAUGUGUUUAUUUUAUUGUCUCAAGUCAAGUUUCUGGCUGAUUCUUUGGGUGUGUGUAGGCCAUUUUGGUGAGGCGUCGCAACUGCUGUGCGGACGAUAACAUUCAGAACACACAGGUGCAGAUGUAAUGUUGCUGAGACGCAUGGCUGAUGUGAAACAAGUUGAGAUUGGUACCAGACAAAUGAAAUGGAUAAAGGAGGUAUCACCAUCUCUUGUUCUCACCAUUUCUUCUGACCUGUCGACGUCUUUAUGUUCAUCAUCUGGUCCUGAUUCUAUCUUUCCGUUUAUUCAUGCACUUGAGCUAGCCCACAACUACACCAUAGAUUCCCCAAAUUGUAUUUCCCUUUAUUCUGUGUAGAUCCUAUUCCCCUAUGAUGUAAUCGAGUUCUAUGGGUGGGAUGUAUACGUUACAACUCGUUUAUUGUCUACGUACGAAUUAUUCUAAUGAAUAGAAUAUAUUUUUUCAUAAUGA